GGAUAGCCAGGGAAGUGCACAAAGCGAGACUCUGAUUGGCUCAAAAUUGUUUUACUGACGGAACAGAAACCAAAACAAAUCGUUGUAAAUGCGGGUGGCGAUACAACGGAUUCGACAGUAAAGAGAUACAGAAUUAGGAAAUGGAGAGAGGAGUGAGCUGGUCACCACUUUUCAUUAAAAAAUACCAUUCUCAAUGAGCAUAAUCUCUAAUGCCAAUUAUAACAUCAUCCUCCUUAGACUCCUAGCAUGACAUAAUAUUUGGACUGAGGAAGUUCUUAGUGGGGAGGAUAGCAAUGGUGGGAUUAAGAGGGAUGGGAAAAACAGAUGGUUAAUGGUGGUCCAUGGAAUUUCAAUAAACCUGCAAAAACUCUAUGAUGGCUAAGACAUGGCAUGCACCCAAGGGUUAAAGUUGACCUUAAAACAAAAAUGAUUGUAUGCCUUCGGUAGACAUUGUCCUGUGAAAAAAAUAAACACAGCGAGAAACGUAAUAUAGACAUGUACACAUCUAAAAAAAUAACUUCUGUACUUUCAGUUGUUAUAACACAUAUAGCAAAUUUCUGAUGAAUGUGAUGGUUAAUGAACAGCAAAACAAAUCAAACUUUAUCAAAACUUUCGAUGUGCACAAUAUAAGUACAAAUUGUAAUAAAUUCUUAAAAGGAUCAGAUCAGGGAGUUGAUCAGAUAUAAGGACAUCCCGUCUUUACAAAGUCAAGGAUAUCCGGAGUUCGGGAUGAAUUUCUGUAGAUUUCAUCGGAUAAAUUUGUCUAUUGAAAUUAAACAUCUGACGUCAGUAGCAA